AACGGCGAGUGAAGCGGCAACAGCUCAAAUUUGAAAUCUGGCUCUUUUAGGGUCCGAGUUGUAAUUUGCAGAGGGCGCUUUGGCGUUGGCAGUGGUCUAAGUUCUUUGGAACAGGACGUCACAGAGGGUGAGAAUCCCGUACGUGGUCGCUAGCCUUCGCCGUGUAAAGCCCCUUCGACGAGUCGAGUUGUUUGGGAAUGCAGCUCUAAAUGGGAGGUAAAUUUCUUCUAAAGCUAAAUACUGGCCAGAGACCGAUAGCGCACAAGUAGAGUGAUCGAAAGAUGAAAAGCACUUUGGAAAGAGAGUCAAAUAGCACGUGAAAUUGUUGAAAGGGAAGCGCUUGCAGCCAGACUUGCCUGUAGUUGCUUAUCCGGACUUUUGUCCGGUGCACUCUUCUGCGGGCAGGCCAGCAUCAGUUUAGGCGGUUGGAUAAAGGUCUCUAUCACGUACCUCCCUUCGGGGUUGGCCUUAUAGGGGAGACGACAUGCAACCAGCUUGAACUGAGGUCCGCGCAUCUGCUAGGAUGCUGGCGUAAUGGCUGUAAGCGGCCCGUCUUGAAACACGGACCAAGGAGUCUAACAUCUAUGCGAGUGUUUGGGUGUCAAGCCCAGACGCGUAAUGAAAGUGAACGGAGGUGGGAACCUUUUAGGUGCACCAUCGACCGAUCCUGAUGUCUUCGGAUGGAUUUGAGUAAGAGCAUGGCUGUUGGGACCCGAAAGAUGGUGAACUAUGCUUGAAUAGGGUGAAGCCAGAGGAAACUCUGGUGGAGGCUCGCAGCGGUUCUGACGUGCAAAUCGAUCGUC
rnacentral:rRNA from 1 species